AAGGGUUUAGUUUUAUUAUAAAACAUUAACUUGUCAAGUUAAAAUUACUAAAGAAUAUGUAGUAAUCCUUA
rnacentral:tRNA from 1 species